CCUACGGGCGGCAGCAGUGGGGAAUAUUGGACAAUGGGCGAAAGCCUGAUCCAGCCAUGCCGCGUGUGUGAAGAAGGCCUUCGGGUUGUAAAGCACUUUCAGUGGGGAAGAAAGCCUUGGGGCUAAUACCCUCGAGGAAGGACAUCACCCACAGAAGAAGCACCGGCUAACUCCGUGCCAGCAGCCGCGGUAAUACGGAGGGUGCGAGCGUUAAUCGGAAUUACUGGGCGUAAAGCGCGCGUAGGCGGUCUGAUAAGCCGGUUGUGAAAGCCCCGGGCUCAACCUGGGAACGGCAUCCGGAAUAGUAGGGAAAGAGGGGGAGAGAGGAAGGAGAAUACCACGGGGGGCGGGGGAAUGGAGAGGAGAGGGGGAGGAAAACGAGUGGAGAGGGGGGCUUUAAGGACUAACAUGGACGAUAGGGUGCGAAGGCGGGGGUAGCAACAGGGAUGAGAUCCCCCGGUAUUC
rnacentral:rRNA from 1 species